UACGGGGGGUGCGAGCGUUGUCCGGAAUCACUGGGCGUAAAGGGCGCGUAGGUGGUCUGAUAAGGGUGUGGUGAAAGCCCGGGGCUCAACCCCGGGUCGGCCGUGCCGACUGUUAGACUAGAGUGCUGUAGGGGCAGGCGGAAUUCCGGGUGUAGCGGUGGAAUGCGUAGAGAUUCGGAGGAAGACCGGUGGCGAAGGCGGCCUGCUGGGCAGUUACUGACACUGAGGCGCGACAGCGUGGGGAGCAAACAGG
rnacentral:rRNA from 1 species